rnacentral:rRNA from 1 species
UACGUAGGGGGCUAGCGUUGUCCGGAAUCAUUGAGCGUAAAGCGCUUGUAGGCGGUCCGGUAAGUCCGCUGUGAAAGUCGGGGGCUCAACCCUCGGAUGCCGGUGGAUACUGUCGGGCUUGAGUACGGAAGAGGCGAGUGGAAUUCCUGGUGUAGCGGUGAAAUGCGCAGAUAUCAGGAGGAACACCAAUUGCGAAGGCAGCUCGCUGGGACGUUACUGACGCUGAGACGCGAAAGCGUGGGGAGCAAACAGG